UUCUAAGCAAUAUUUUGUUGGUUCUAGCUUCUUUUGGGAGAAAAUGGGUAUAAGUGUUGUCUAAACACUACUAAUCCAUCUCUAACUCUUAUAACUAGUCAAAUGCAUUGGAUUGUUGUACAUUAUGAGGAUAGAAACUCUAACAAAGCUAUUUACUGUUUCUAAGCAAUAUUUUGUUGGUUGUAGCUUCUUUUAGGAGAAAAUGGAUAUAAGUGUUGUCUAAACACUCCUAAUCCAUCUCUAACUCUUAUAAGGAGUUGUGUCAUGAUGGGGCACUUUACAAGUUUGUAAGCCCAUUGAGGGCACUUUGGAGGGAGUAGGCACUUUUUUGGGGGGUUUCUACUGUUCGACAAAAAACAAUACCAUACUACCCCUACUGACGUCAGCUGAUGCGCUAACCAUGG
rnacentral:sRNA from 1 species